CUAAAGAUUGGACCUGUAAAGUCCAAGUUGUUGAUAAAAGUCGACUAAGAGACAACAAAGAUAAAACCACAAAAUACCAAGUCUUAAUUCUGCAAGAUGAAGAGAUGUACUUGCCAUUGUCAUUAGUGGCAGUCCUUCAACAAAGACUGCAACUAGAAAACGAAUCCAAGAGUUUAUUAUCAUGGACAAGCUG